rnacentral:snRNA from 1 species
AGGCAACCAAUUGGGCGCCACUACCAUUAAAUUGGAAUGGUUCCAGGGAGGUUUGCCAUGGCCCGUGCGCAAGGAUGCACAUGCAAAUUUAUGAAGUGUUCCAUAUGUUU